UGCGGGGGAAGAGGCUGGCAGCGGUGUGGCCUUCCUUUGAAAUUCCGAGGAAGUUCAUGAAUGCGGGGCUGUGAACGCGAUUUUUUGGCUGUAAUCCCGUUGUUGGGAUCCUGGAGCUUUCUAAAGCUGCUGAUGGUGGAGGCGUUGUUCAGUGACAGAAGAAGUUACAGGAAAAAAAAAGCAGUGAAUGCUGUUUGAAUUCCAAAGGUACCUGGCUAUCUAAUGGAAAACACUGAAAUACAUCCUCAGAAGAGGUGGGCUUUAAGGGACCAUCGAGGGGACAACAAGACGAGAAUGACUUCAGUGAUUUUGGAGCAAUUGUCUUCUACCUUUCAGGUUCUUUGAGGGAGAAACAAAGAGUUUUCCUCUAUCUCAAACUUUCCUGUUUUAGUGGCCUACUAGUAGUACAAAGCGCUGUUUGCCAUUGUCAAUUACCACUGAUCUCAGCAUGGUCUGGCAAGCUUAGGGGCAUCCACUUCACAGCACUCCUAGAGGGUAAUACUUCAUUUGGUUUCCUGGCAACUUCCUGACUGUUCAGGGUUAUGAAAAAUACAAUAUUUAGCUGUUAUUCUUUCUCUAUGGCUAUUAUUUCCAUUGGCUUUGUAAUCACAGUGAUAGAGUCUUGAUAAUGUUCUUGUCAAUACUGUGUUCCUGGCUAAUAGGGGAGAGCUGAGGAUAUGACCAUUGUCUCAGGAAACAUGACACACAUCCGUUGCAAUCAAUACAUGUAAUUUGCUCUAUCAAAUGCCUCAUGAGACAGGUUGAUAUUACAACCAGUGAAUGGCUGUAGUAAUAAGUGCAAUUUUGACACGAAGUUCUUCCAAAUGUGUAUUUUGGCACACAGGACUGCAGAAGGUUUCCACACAGGCAUGAUAUAGCAGUGGAUCCCAUGACCAGAUAACUGAGAUUAUUUCAAGUGCCUCCAAAGAGUUAUUUUACUCUGGUAGCUGUCAUACACAGACUUGGCAGGCCUGGUGUUAGAUCAGAGCUAAGGAUCUGGGUGACUGAGGAAGUUUAUCCUGCUGUAACUUUAUAGAUGGAUGUUAUAAAUUAGAAGCUGUUAAAUGCUGAAGAACAACAUCAUUGUCUGCAACUAUUUGGUAAUGCCUGAUGGCUUGCAGAAUGUUAUGGUUGUUUGAUUCCUGCAUUAGGAAGAAAAUGCAGGUACUGUAAAAUUGUAAUUAAUAGUAAGACUGAAAUGAGAAGAGGAGGUUUGGAAAAGGAGACCUCAAUAAGUUUCAGUACACACUUCAUAUUGAAUAUUGAAUAUUGUUGUGUGAUGACAUAAAUACUCUUUUAUUCCUUUAAUUUGAUCUGAUUCCAGGUAAAAUAUAAUUCCUCUCGGCACUCCUUACUGAUAAGAUUUCUGAUAGUGAUUGAGACAGUCUGAUACUGCACCAAGUUUUUGUCCAGGAAUUUAAUGCCUUCUAGUCUAAUCUAUCUUAUUCUGACAGGUUUUGCCACCUUUUGUCAUCACAAUCAUUUUAUUGGGCAAAAUAAUCCAACAUAGAUCCAUAUAUUUUGUAGUUCCAUAAUAAGGCCUACUAUAAGACUUGCUCAGUUGUCUGGUGCACUUAAAAAAGCAUUUUUCCAUCACCUCUUGUCUUCAUACACUCUAAAUUUCAGGACAGAAAUGUUCAAUGCUUGUUAAGGGUUACAUUUUAAAUUAGGUAAAAUGUCAUUGGUUGGUUCUGAGAUUAGUUUACUUUUCCUACUUCAAAACUUUUUCAAAAAACACCCAUGGAAUAAAUGCAUUACAAGCGAAGCAGCUGCUGGGGAGGGAGGCUCUUUCCUGAAUCUAAAAGGAAGCAUCUUCUGUACUGCUUUCAUUCUUACAAAGGGUUUGAUUUAAAGAUGCCUUAACUAUACAAUGUGUGCUGAAUUGAGAGAGAUUGAAGAUGAAAUGGACCAGAAAUGUUUAAAGAUAAGAGGGUUCAGCAGCAGUCCUGAAAGUUUGUGAGGAGAGUCAUUCCAAAUGUAGGCAGACUUUGAAAAGGAGAAGUUGUAUUGGAAAUGGUUCCUCUAUCCUUUGCAGGAUUCAUGGAAUCCUUAUGGCAGUUGGAAGGCACCUCUGGAGAUCACCUAAUCCAGUCCACAAAGCAGGGUCAGCUAAAGCAGCUUGUCCAGGAUUGUGUCCAGUUGGGUUUAGAAUGUCUCUGACUAUGUAGAGUCCACAACAUUCCUGGGUAACCUGAUACAGGUUUUCACCUGUUCCACCUGUUCCAGUGUUUUACUCUCACAGUAAAAGGUGAGGGAGUUAAAGUUUAAAUGGAGUAUUUUGUAUUUCAGUUUGGGCCUACUGCUUCUUGUUCUUUCCCUGGACAACAUUAAGAAGAGCCCACCUGUGUUUUUCGUUUUUUAUUGAUCAGGUAUUUAUAGACAGAGGUACUGUCCCACCUUCUCCAGAAUGAACAGUCCCAGCCUCUCAAAUGACAGAAACUCCAGACCCUUAAUCAUCUUUCUGUCCCUUUGAUGGACUAACUCUAGUUUGUCCACACCUUUCUUGUGCUGGAAAACCCAGAGUCAGACUCUGACUCCAUCCGAGACUCAUCAGUGCUGAGCAGAGGCAAGGAUCACCUCCUCCACCUGCUGGUAGUGCUUUUCCUGGGAUGCUGCUGGCUUUCAUUGCCACAAGGAUGUAUUCCCAGCUCACAUCCAAUUUGUUUUCCAACAGGUCUUUUUAUCCAAAAUUGUUUUCCACUUAGAUUGAAAGGAGCCAUUUACUCAGGCAAAAAUUCAUCAAUUUGUCAAUGAGAACAUUUCAGGAGCGAGUAUCUAAAGCCUUGCUGUGGUGAGGAUAAUAUCACUUGCCCUUCCCUCAUCCAUCAUACCACUGAUAUCAUUGUUGAAGGCUGAAAGAUUAGUUGAGCAUAAUUUCUCCUUCAUAAAUCAAUGGAGAAUGGAUUGAGAGCAGCCUGGAAAUACUUGGGGGUGUUGGUUGAUGAGAAGCUCAACAAGACCCAGCAACACACACUUGUAAUCCAGAAAGACUGCAUCAAGUAUUGGGAAUUCAUUCUUCAUUGUGAGGGUGCUGACACACUGGCACAGGUUGCCUAGAGAUGUUAUGGAAUCCCCAUCCCUGGAAGUCUUCAAAGGCCAGGCUGGUGGGGCUUGGAGCAACAUGAUCUAGUGGGAGGUGUCCCUGCCCAUGGCAGGGGGUGGAAGGAAGUAAGUGGGAGGUCCCUUCUAAUCCAAACUCUGUGAUUCUAAAUCACCUUUUUGUCCUUAAUGCU